rnacentral:rRNA from 1 species
GACGAACGCUGGCGGCGUGCCUAAUACAUGCAAGUUGAGCGCUGAAGGUUGGUACUUGUACCAACUGGAUGAGCAGCGAACGGGUGAGUAACGCGUGGGGAAUCUGCCUUUGAGCGGGGGACAACAUUUGGAAACGAAUGCUAAUACCGCAUAAAAACUUUAAACACAAGUUUUAAGUUUGAAAGAUGCAAUUGCAUCACUCAAAGAUGAUCUUGCGUUGUAUUAGCUAGUUGGUGAGGUAAAGGCUCACUAAGGCGAUGAUACAUAGCCGACCUGAGAGGGUGAUCGGCCACAUUGGGACUGAGACACGGCCCAAACUACUACGGGAGGGAGCAGUAGGGAAUCUUCGGCAAUGGACGAAAGUCUGACCGAGCAACGCCGCGUGAGGGAAGAAGGGUUUCGGAUCGUAAAACUCUGUUGGUAGAGAAGAACGUUGGUGAGAGUGGAAAGCUCAUCAAGUGACGGUAACUACCCAGAAAGGGACGGCUAACUACGUG